UACGUAGGGUGCAGGCGUUAAUCGGAAUUACUGGGCGUAAAGCGUGCGCAGGCGGCUCCUUAAGUCAGAUGUGAAAGCCCCGGGCUUAACCUGGGAACUGCGUUUGAAACUGGGGAGCUAGAGUGUAGAAGAGGGGGGUGGAAUUCCAGGUGUAGCAGUGAAAUGCGUAGAGAUCUGGAGGAACACCGAUGGCGAAGGCGGCUCACUGGCCCGGUACUGACGCUGAAGUGCGAAAGCGUGGGGAGCAAACAGG
rnacentral:rRNA from 1 species